UACGGGGGGGGCAAGCGUUGUUCGGAAUUACUGGGCGUAAAGGGCUCGUAGGUGGCCAACUAAGUCAUACGUGAAAUCCCUCGGCUUAACCGGGGAACUGCGUGUGAUACUGGAUGGCUUGAGUUCGGGAGAGGGAUGCGGAAUUCCUGGUGUAGCGGUGAAAUGCGCAGAUAUCAGGAGGAACACCAAUGGCGAAGGCAGCUCGCUGGGACGGUACUGACGCUGAGGCGCGAAAGCGUGGGGAGCAAACAGG
rnacentral:rRNA from 1 species